AUGAAGAGAGAUCCUAAGGUUGGAGGCGGUGUCGGUGGAACUCGAGAAGUUGCCAAGAACCAAACCCAACACUCAUCGAGGUAAACAUGAUAGUUGAGGAUGCUUGGUUCGAGGCCUUAGGAGCUUAGGACUUGGAUCCUUUAUUUUGCUUUUUGUGAUGUAAAUUGUUACUUGGAUGAUUGUAUUCAUAACUAUUUGACUCACUACAUUUUUAGGGUGUAAUGCUGGAUAUUAGUAGUUGUGGCUGUUUUGGAAAUCCAUAGCUAGUCAUAUGCGGUAAUUACCGAAGAAAGGAAUAUAUGAAUUAUGAUUUUCUGUUAAAUCGAAUAUAUGUGGAUAU